UCUCACUCCAAACACACCCAACACAACACAGAUAGAUAGAGAGAGAGAGAGAGAGCGCCGUCUACAUUGCCAAUUUGCCACCGUCGUCGCCGUCCACGACCUUUUCCCUUUCUCUCUCUUUUGAUUUAAGGUUUGGGGUUCACUCCUUUGUUGAUUUAACCACCUGUUGUUGCUGUUUCUCAAAAUCGACUUCUAUUUAAUUCAUCAGAUUGCAAAGGAGGAAAUGAAAAUGUCAUAACUGCGAAGAAAAGGAAGCGAACUUGAGUGUUGCUGGUGAAGUAUAAUCUAGUAUGAACAACAUUGAUGAGAAGAAUCCCAAUGUUUCUGUUCGAAAGCGGUUUAAGUUUCCCAAAAAGUUUUUUGAUGAGUGUAAUGGAGUUGAUCAUGCUUCUGUUCCUCGGAAACUUCGUUCAGGUGAAAUGUUUCGUGGUUGAGUUAAACUUUGGAAUUCCAGUCCAUCUCUCCGCCUUUGCCAAAUUUCAAAAAGAUGAAUCACAUGUCAGAUGGAGCUGAAACAUUAAGGAAAUAUGUCAGCAAGUCCAAGCUUAAUUUGGUUAGAGACUUAUUCAUUGUGGCUCGAGUUAUUUUUCUGUUUGUCGGUAUUUUUCUUAAGUUCGCGAUGCUAAGGUGGAUUUCAUAACUGAAAAGUGAUAAGAUAUCACCGCUUUCUUUAAGUCUGAAAAGGUCAGAUUUUUAACUUCUCCUUUGAUCUUUAUAGAGAACACAUAAUAUUGGUUUGUGUUGUGGCGCGAUGCUUGAGUAAUAUGUUUUAGGACUUAAUUACUGACUUAUUGAAUAUGGCAUGACAGAAAUAUGGAUUCUCCGGAGUUUAGAAUCUCUGUUAAAGGUAUUAAUAAAGGUAUGCAGUAUGCCUUAGAAUACAUGUCUAUAGGUGUUGAUCGUGUUCGUUUCCUUUGAACUUGAAUGCCGAUAAAGAUGGCUGAAUACAAUCUAUGAAUUACCAAUGUCGUUUCAUGGUUUUCAAUUACUGAAAUAGUACCUAAUUGUAUAUGUGUGUGUGUGUGUGUACGACAUAAUUUUGCUCUAAUGUCUGGUACAAGCAUGGCAACACCUCAUAUUGCUGGGGUAGCUGCACUAAUAAAGAAAUACAAUCCAUCAUGGACACCAUCAAUGAUAGCUUCAGCAAUAUCAACCACAGCCAGCACUUAUGACAAUUUUGGAGACCCCAUUAUGGCUCAAGGGUUUGAUCUUUAUAGCUUGUACACUUCUGCUCCUUUUGUGUUUUGGUGCUGGCCUUGUCAACCCCCCUCGUGCAAUUUCUUUAAAAGGUAAAAAGUUAUUGUUUCAAGUCAUGGUCCGAUUCUUUAAAAGGUAAAAAGUUAUUGUUUCAAGUUAUUUUUGGAGUAGCUAGGGAGAAAAGAUGUAAAGAUAGCAUAGAAAUUUCUUAGAACUCAAAAUAUGGAAGAACUUAACCAACUCAAAUAAACUAGUAACUGAUACUUUCAUCUGAAAUUUACAUCCUUAACAAGAUAUAUGCUGAUUUUUCUUUGAGAUUGGAAAGAAAGUUUACCGCUUCACUGCUAUAUUAGUGUCACUUUUACUUUGUUUUAGAAUAAAAUAAUACAUGUGAUGUGAAUGUAGAAUAAUUCUACUUACUUCAUGCCCAUUGGCACUAUAAUUGCAGUUACACUUCCCUUGCAUUUAUUAUAUCUUUGUUCACAUCUCUCAUGUGAUUUGCAUUGUGUUUCUUUAUGGAUUGCUAUAUGGCCAACUAAUUCUUCAUAUACAUGCAUGUGCUUUGGUUCCUUUUGCCUUUUUUUUUUUUUUUUAAGUUCUGCCUGUAUUAGUGUUUUAAGCUAGUAAUUUCUCCCAUUGAAUACAAUUUAAAUUUUUAUGCAGGAGCAACCCCCUGAUUGCAUACUAAAGGACGCAAAAAACGCUAGCAAGCUAAGUUAUUCAAGUUUGCUUGGGAGCAUUAAUCCUAUAAUCCUAUGAGCAGAUCAUACCUUUCUUAUACUUAUACUUGAGCAUUUGGAUACUUUUCUCCAUGUUACUUAUAGUUUUGGUGUAAAGGGUUCUAGCUAUGACGUGUAGAUAGUUGGGAUAUUUUGUUAAAAUGGAUGUGGUUGAACAACACAAGCAUAGUGUAUUGUAUACAUUUUUCAACCAUCUAAGUGCUAUUAAUGCAAUUGAUUAAACUUAUCAGUAAAACAGAAAGGAAAGCAUGAGCAGAAGGUGUAAACUUGUGGUAUAUGGUAUUAGCUUAGUGCUAGCAGCCAAUUAACUCGUGGUAUAUGGUAUUAGCUUAGUGCUAGCAUCCAAUUAACUUGUGAUAUAUGCAUUUUGUGGGGCUUGUUUUAGUUUCUUUAUAGUCUAAAGUUUUGGUUUCAAGUCUGUUUUGAUGUUGAUAAGUAAUGAAACAUUAUUGAUUGAGAGCAGUUCUUUCUCAGGAUUAUACGGCUUAAGUUGUAACCGUGAUAAGAUAUCGGAUGGCUAAAGCUCUUUUAAUUUUUGCAAGAUGCCAAGGGCAAUGAUGUUGAUCUCAGUCUGAUAUUGAUCAAUGUGAAGCAUAUUACGAAGCUGCUGGGGGAACAAGGAAGAGAAGAAUAUAUGGUCUUGGAUCUCAAGCACAAAGUUAUCUGCUUUUUGUUGGAAAGAACAAAAUUAUGCACUAACAAUACUUGAUGGAUGUGUGGGUUCUUUUGGUAGUUGAUAGCUUGGUGUUGUCGGUGUUUUGGACUUAACGAUUAGGAUUUCGCUAUCUAUUUUGAAUCUUUUUUAUAAAUAUUAUUUUAUGUGAA